AUUGAACGCUGGCGGCAGGCCUAACACAUGCAAGUCGAGCGAGUGGCGGACGGGUGAGUAAUGUCUGGGAAACUGCCCGCUAGAGGGGGAUAACUACUGGAAACGGUGGCUAAUACCGCAUACUAUCGGAUGUACCCAUAUGGGAUUAGCUAGUAGGUGGGGUAACGGCUCACCUAGGCGACGAUCCCUAGCUGGUCUGAGAGGAUGAUCAGCCACACUGGAACUGAGACACGGCCCAGACUCCUACGGGAGGCAGCAGUGGGGAAGAUUGAACAAUGGGCGAAAGCCUGAUGCAGCCAUGCCGCGUGUAUGAAGAAGGCCGUAGGGUUGUAAAGUACUUUCAGUGGGGAGGCGUUACCGGCAGAAGAAGCACCGGCUAACUCCGUGCCAGCAGCCGCGGUAAUUC
rnacentral:rRNA from 1 species